UACAGAGGGGGCAAGCGUUAUUCGGAAUUAUUGGGCGUAAAGGGCGCGUAGGCGGCCUGGCAAGUGGAUGGUGAAAUCCCUCGGCUUAACCGAGGAACUGCCAUCCAGACUGCUUGGCUUGAGACCGGGAGAGGUGAGUGGAAUUCCCAGUGUAGCGGUGAAAUGCGUAGAUAUUGGGAGGAACACCAGUGGCGAAGGCGGCUCACUGGACCGGUACUGACGCUGAGGCGCGAAAGCGUGGGGAGCAACGGG
rnacentral:rRNA from 1 species